rnacentral:rRNA from 1 species
UACGAAGGGGGCUAGCGUUGCUCGGAAUCACUGGGCGUAAAGCGCACGUAGGCGGACUCUUAAGUCGGUGGUGAAAUCCUGGAGCUCAACUCCAGAACUGCCUUCGAUACUGAGAGUCUCGAGUCCGGGAGAGGUGAGUGGAACUGCGAGUGUAGAGGUGAAAUUCGUAGAUAUUGGGAAGAACACCGGUGGCGAAGGCGGCGACCUGGUCCUUGACUGACGCUGAGGCGCCGAAAGCGUGGGGAGCAAACAGG